UGUGUGCACAGAAACCAAAUGUUGUCUACCGU
rnacentral:piRNA from 1 species